AGCCAAGAUGGCCGCCGAAGCCGACGCCCCGGCCAGGCCAAGCCCAGGCCGCGAGCGCUCCCGCUUCCGGCUCCGAGCGGGCGGGGCGCGAGGGCAUGCGCACUGAGGCGCUGCCGCCGGCCGCCGCUCCAUCCCGGCGUUGCGGAACUCCACCUCGGGUUUUUCCAGCGGGUAGGGGCGGGGAAGUCGGCCUGAGCUUCCAGUUUUCCCUCUGAAGCUGGACGGCGGCUUUAGUUUCAGUUACUUCUGUACAAGGUUGAAGGAGGAGUGACCCGCUUCCCGCCGCCACGAGUAUCCUCCAGUGCCCAGGGGUAAACGGCCUGACUAAGAACGUUGUCAGCGGCACACAACCAUUCUUGUAACUUGGAGCGUCUGACGUUCUGGGUGGGAAAGAGCGAUACCAGACCGAGAGACCUGUGCUGACCCUGAAUAUUAAGUGAAGACAAAAUAAAAUCUCUACUCAGAAUUCACAGUGUAGUGCCAUGGGGAUCACUGGCUGGACUCUGCAGGCCGUAGAAGCUUGGAGGGGAGGUCGUGGAACCCAGAGAAGUGAAAAAUUCCUUGGGCUGCUGUGUGGAGGCUAAACUGCAGGAUGGAAGCAGGGAGGCCAGUCAUGUAAUGAGAAGACUACUGACCUCAUGCAGGCAAAGGUGAUGGCUUUCCUUUGAAAGAGCAAUGGAGGGCUGGGAUGUGGCUGGAAUUGGGAUUUAUUUGGAAGGUAGCCUCAACAGAGCUUGCUGAUGAAUUAUUCUAUGCAGAUCAAGUACGUAUUUAUAGAUGCCAUUCCCUCCAUUUUUAAAAUACAAGUAAUAGCUUACUAUACAAAUUAUUCUGCAUCUUGCUUUUUGUCACUUGAUUAUUAGACAGAUUAUUGCAUAGCAGUCUGGAUUAAAGACACCCAUCACUACUUUUCUGUCUUUUUUCUUUUGCUUUAUAUUUGUAUUCAAGUUAACAUGCACAUAGUUUAAAGAAAAGUAUUUCCCUAAGAUUUACUGUGAAGCACAGCAGGUCCUCAUCCCCUCACUUAUCAUUUCCUCCUUUUCAGAGGCAACAGUUAUACCUCUUUUACCAGUUUUGGUAUUUG